GCCCCAUGAGCCCCAGUGAAUGAAGUCUAUGUUAGAGCGUGGUGCUGAUAACGCCAAGGUUGUAGGUUCAAUCCCCAUAAGGGACA